GGCCCCAUCGUCUAGCGGUUAGGACGGCGGCCUCUCACGCCGCAGACCGGAGUUCGAGUCUCCGUGGGGUCG
rnacentral:tRNA from 1 species